UAUGGAUGGUAGUGAACUGUCACAG
rnacentral:piRNA from 1 species